AUGAACGCUAGCUACAGGCUUAACACAUGCAAGUCGAGGGGCAGCAUGACGAUAGCUUGCUAUUGUUGAUGGCGACCGGCGCACGGUGAGUAACGCGUAUCCAACCUUCCCAUAGCUAGGGAAUAACCUUGCGAAAGUAAGACUAAUACCCAAUGAUAUCUCUAGAAGACAUCUGAAAGAGAUUAAAGAUUUAUCGGUGAUGGAUGGGGAUGCGUCUGAUUAGCUUGUUGGCGGGUAACGGCCCACCAAGGCGACGAUCAGUAGGGGUUCUGAGAGGAAGGUCCCCCACAUUGGAACUGAGACACGGUCCAAACUCCUACGGGAGGCAGCAGUGAGGAAUAUUGGUCAAUGGACGAGAGUCUGAACCAGCCAAGUAGCGUGCAGGAUGACGGCCCUAUGGGUUGUAAACUGCUUUUAUAAGGGAAUAAAGUGAGAGUCGUGACUCUUUUUGCAUGUACCUUAUGAAUAAGGACCGGCUAAUUCCGUG
rnacentral:rRNA from 1 species